rnacentral:rRNA from 1 species
UACGGGGGGGGCAAGCGUUGUUCGGAGUUACUGGGCGUAAAGGGCUCGUAGGCGGCCAACUAAGUCGGACGUGAAAUCCCUCGGCUUAACCGGGGAACUGCGUCCGAUACUGGAUGGCUUGAGUUUGGGAGAGGGAUGCGGAAUUCCAGGUGUAGCGGUGAAAUGCGUAGAUAUCUGGAGGAACACCGGUGGCGAAGGCGGCAUCCUGGACCAACACUGACGCUGAGGAGCGAAAGCCAGGGGAGCAAACGGG